ensembl:lncRNA
UGUGUGUGUAUUGGAUAAUGUGAUGUGUAUACUAGGUGUCUAUGAUGUGUGUGUAUUGGAUAAUGUGAUGUGUAUACUAGGUGUCUAUGAUGUGUGUGUAUUGGAUAAUGUGAUGUGUAUACUAGGUGUCUAUGAUGUGUGUGUAUUGGAUAAUGUGAUGUGUAUACUAGGUGUCUAUGAUGUGUGUGUCUACAGGAACAUGGAGUGGCUGCAGGGUGGCCACAGCUGUCAGCGAGUCAUCGUCCAUACACAGUGAUGCCCUGUUCGACCCGGGGCCUGGUACUCCUGAUCUGGGUCUGGUUCGGGACAUCUCUCUGGGCUCUACAGGUCCUGGUCUGGACCGGAACAUCUCUCUGGGCUCUACAGGUCCUGGUCUGGACCGGAACAUCUCUCUGGGCUCUACAGGUCCUGGUCGGAACAUCUCUCUGGGCUCUACAGGGCCUGGUCUGGGUCAGAACAUCUCUCUGGGCUCCAUAGGUCCUGGUCGGAAAAUCUCUCUGGGCUCUACAGGUCCUGGUCGGGACAUCUCUCUGGGCUCUACAGGUCCUGGUCGGGACAUCUCUCUGGGCUCUACAGGUCCUGGUCUGGGUCAGAACAUCUCUCUGGGCUCUAAAGGUCCUGGUCGGAACAUCUCUCUGGGCUCUACAGGUCCUGGUCUGGACCGGAACAUCUCUCUGGGCUCUACAGGUCCUGGUCUGGACCGGAACAUCUCUCUGGGCUUUACGGGUCCUGGUCUGGACAUCUCUCUGGGCUCUACAGGUCCUGGUCUGGGUCGGGACAUAGAUUCCCUACAGGAGCAGACACAUACAGUAUGGACAUGAUUUAGGAGCAGUGCUUGACUUGGACAGAAAAAAAGUAGUCAGAGGCAUAUAUGUGUGUGUUUUAAAUCAACAAUAUCGAUGUUUGUCCAAUCAGAUGAUUUCAGUGGAACAGUUUGAACGGUCUUAUUAUGCUGAAUACCUUUCUGACUACCGUGUUGGAGAAACAUUAAAAGGAAAUAGC